rnacentral:rRNA from 1 species
GCCCAAGAGAUCGGGAUAACACCUGGAAGCAGAUGCUAAUACCGGAUAACAACAGAUGAUGCCUAUCAACUGUUUAAAAGAUGGUUCUGCUAUCACUCUUGGAUGGACCUGCGGUGCAUUAGCUAGUUGGUAGGGUAACGGCCUACCAAGGCGAUGAUGCAUAGCCGAGUUGAGAGACUGAUCGGCCACAUUGGGACUGAGACACGGCCCAAACUCCUACGGGAGGCAGCAGUC